rnacentral:SRP_RNA from 2 species
GCCAGGCGUGGUGGUGCGUGCCUGUAAUCCCAGCUACUCAGGAGGCUGAGGCAGGAGAAUCGUUUGAACCUGGGAGGUGGAGGUUGCAGUGAGCUGAGAUCGCGCCACUGCACUCCAGCCUGGGUGACAGAGUGAGACUCUGUCUCAA